rnacentral:rRNA from 1 species
AUUGAACGCUGGCGGCAGGCCUAACACAUGCAAGUCGAGCGGAUGAAGGGAGCUUGCUCCUGGAUUCAGCGGCGGACGGGUGAGUAAUGCCUAGGAAUCUGCCUGGUAGUGGGGGAUAACGUCCGGAAACGGGCGCUAAUACCGCAUACGUCCUGAGGGAGAAAGUGGGGGAUCUUCGGACCUCACGCUAUCAGAUGAGCCUAGGUCGGAUUAGCUAGUUGGUGGGGUAAAGGCCUACCAAGGCGACGAUCCGUAACUGGUCUGAGAGGAUGAUCAGUCACACUGGAACUGAGACACGGUCCAGACUCCUACGGGAGGCAGCAGUGGGGAAUAUUGGACAAUGGGCGAAAGCCUGAUCCAGCCAUGCCGCGUGUGUGAAGAAGGCCUUCGGAUUGUAAAGCACUUUAAGUUGGGAGGAAGGGCAGUAAGUUAAUACCUUGCUGUUUUGACAUUACCAACAGAAUAAGCACCGGCUAACUUCGUG